AAGGAUGAAUAUAAAUAUGUGAAAAGUAAAUGUUUUCUUUUUUGUCGUUGACCAUGAUCACAUUCGAUUUGGUUUAAUUCACCGGCACGUACGACUAGGACACGACCGACUGAACGUCAAAGCACGUUAACGUCGUGUAAAUCAAAAUAAAAGCUGACGAGGAUCUAGGGAGUGAACGGGUGCUGGCCCAGAAAAAUCAGACAAGGGGAAAUAAGAAAGAAAUGAACACAUUUUAAAGUCGGAUUGGAAGAGUUACCUGCGUUCUGAGAAUGUAUUCUACUUCAAAAGGUUUUGAUAUGCAUCAUGUUAUCAACAACUUUUUCAAUCUUCCAUUCCUAACCUAACACGUGUGAUGAGUGGUAAUUGAUUUCACACCCUUGAUUUACGAUCUUGUAACAUAAAAUACCGAUUUGGGGUAAAAAUCAGCGAUUUUCUAACCCCAUCAGAUGACAUGUGUUGCGUCUAUUCAUUCAGAAAAAAAUGUAAAGAAAAAAAAUGCAAUGAGAACAGCAAAGUCAAAGGGGUUGCUGUUAAAUUAUCAUCUUUAUCAGUUAAAAUGAACAUUUAAGUUAUUGCGUCAUGGACAAGUGACUUUUUUACGCUUAUAGUACAGAAAAAAAAUCAUCAUCUGUAUAACAGUUUGCAAUGAAGCUAUUUAUUGCUGUAGUCAGGGUACAUUGACAUGGGAUCUCCACGAAAGCUCAGGAUCAAUUGCAGCAGGAUAUCGUUACAAAUUCCCUUGGAUUUGAAUUGAAUCGUUGGUAAGGAGUGAGAGAUAUAUAUCAAUAUCUCACAGAGAAAGAAAGAAAAAAGUUUUGAAUUAAAUUCAGUAAAAGAAGGGAGCCAUCGCGUCAUGCGCCGCUAGCGGAAUCAGCGGAUUAGCUGUUCUGAAUGCUUCAAUGACGGGCCACCCUAUCCGCCUUCUCUUCACCAUGAAUAGUGACACGAGGUGAAAAAAAUUCAGAGAAAGCAGAAGCUGAGAUUGGUCGUCUUUGAACGCAAGAAGAGGAAGAUUUAGAUGAGAAAAAAGAAGAGUUUCUUGUUGCUCCCUGUUAUUAUGAUACUGAGAGAGUUUUAUUCUAAGGUUUUUCAGUAAUCUACCGAAUUUUUUUUAUCAGCAAUUUAAGAAAACUACAAUGGAGUUAAAAUAUCUUGAAAUAGCGUUUAAGAAGAUGUCUUUCAUAGAAGAUAUUACAUCAAGAAUAUCAAAGGAGCCGACCAGGUUGCGUAUCAAGGAUCAAGAUCACCUGAUUUUAUCGCCUGUCGAGCGAAACGGAUACUUUCCUUUCUUCGUGUCACCCGUGAAUCGAUUGAAAUUAUUUCGAAGCCGUCGGAAGAAAAUAAUGAAAGGAAGAGACUAGCGAAGCGUAUCGAUUUCGUCGUGUCUAACGUUGAUCUCUCGAAAAAUAUAAUGUUAGAUAUUAUUGCAGGACCAACGCUUUCUCGCGUGCUGGAACAUGAGUCACGUAAGGAAAAGUCAA